AACGAACGCUGGCGGCAUGCCUAACACAUGCAAGUCGAACGAGACCUUCGGGUCUAGUGGCGCACGGGUGCGUAACGCGUGGGAACCUGCCCUUAGGUUGGGAAUAACUCCCCGAAAGGGGUGCUAAUACCGGAUAAUGUCUUCGGACCAAAGAUUUAUCGCCUUUGGAUGGGCCCGCGUUGGAUUAGCUAGUUGGUAGGGUAAAAGCCUACCAAGGCGACGAUCCAUAGCUGGUCUGAGAGGAGGAUCAGCCACACUGGGACUGAGACACGGCCCAGACUCCUACGGGAGGCAGCAGUGGGGAAUAUUGGACAAUGGGCGAAAGCCUGAUCCAGCAAUGCCGCGUGAGUGAUGAAGGCCUUAGGGUUGUAAAGCUCUUUUACCCGGGAUGAUAAUGACAGUACCGGGAGAAUAAGCUCCGGCUAACUCCGUG
rnacentral:rRNA from 1 species